GCUUAACACAUGCAAGUCGAGCGGAAACGAAGAUAGCUUGCUAUCAGGCGUCGAGCGGCGGACGGGUGAGUAACGCGUAGGAAUCUGCCUAGUAGUGGGGGACAACCUGUGGAAACGCAGGCUAAUACCGCAUAAUCCCUGAGGGGGAAAGGAGGGGAUCUUCGGACCUUUCGCUAUUAGAUGAGCCUGCGUGAGAUUAGCUAGUUGGUGAGGUAAAGGCUCACCAAGGCGACGAUCUCUAGCUGGUCUGAGAGGAUGAUCAGCCACACUGGGACUGAGACACGGCCCAGACUCCUACGGGAGGCAGCAGUGGGGAAUAUUGGACAAUGGGCGCAAGCCUGAUCCAGCCAUACCGCGUGUGUGAAGAAGGCCUUAGGGUUGUAAAGCACUUUCAGAAGGGAGGAAAGGUUAAGUGUUAAUAGCACUUAGCUGUGACGUUACCUUCAGAAGAAGCACCGGCUAACUCUGUGCCAGCAGCCGCGGUAAUACAGAGGGUGCAAGCGUUAAUCGGAAUUACUGGGCGUAAAGCGCGCGUAGGUGGUUUGUUAAGUCGGAUGUGAAAGCCCAGGGCUCAACCUUGGAAUUGCACCCGAUACUGGCAGGCUAGAGUACGAUAGAGGAGUGUGGAAUUUCCUGUGUAGCGGUGAAAUGCGUAGAUAUAGGAAGGAACAUCAGUGGCGAAGGCGACACUCUGGAUUGAUACUGACACUGAGGUGCGAAAGCGUGGGAGCAAACAGGAUUAGAUACCCUGGUAGUCCACGCCGUAAACGAUGUCUACUAGCCGUUGGGUUGUAAUGACUUAGUGGCGAAGCUAACGCAAUAAGUAGACCGCCUGGGGAGUACGGCCGCAAGGUUAAAACUCAAAUGAAUUGACGGGGGCCCGCACAAGCGGUGGAGCAUGUGGUUUAAUUCGAAGCAACGCGAAGAACCUUACCUACUCUUGACAUCCAUAGAAGCCGAAAGAGAUUUUGGUGUGCCUCCGGGAACUAUGAGACAGGUGCUGCAUGGCUGUCGUCAGCUCGUGUUGUGAAAUGUUGGGUUAAGUCCCGUAACGAGCGCAACCCUUGUCCUUAUUUGCCAGCACGUAAUGGUGGGAACUUUAAGGAGACUGCCGGUGACAAACCGGAGGAAGGUGGGGACGACGUCAAGUCAUCAUGGCCCUUACGAGUAGGGCUACACACGUGCUACAAUGGCAAGUACAGAGGGCUGCAAACCAGCGAUGGUAAGCGAAUCCCAGAAAGCUUGUCGUAGUCCGGAUCGGAGUCUGCAACUCGACUCCGUGAAGUCGGAAUCGCUAGUAAUCGUGAAUCAGAACGUCACGGUGAAUACGUUCCCGGGCCUUGUACACACCGCCCGUCACACCAUGGGAGUUGAUUGCUCCAGAAGUAGCUAGCUUAACCCUUCGGGGAGGGCGGUUACCACGGAGUGGUCAAUGACUGGGGUG
rnacentral:rRNA from 1 species